UAGGGAAUCUUCGGCAAUGGGGGGAACCCUGACCGAGCAACGCCGCGUGAGUGAAGAAGGUUUUCGGAUCGUAAAGCUCUGUUGUUAAGGAAGAACGAGUGUGAGAAUGGAAAGUUCAUACUGUGACGGUACUUAACCAGAAAGGGACGGCUAACUACGUGCCAGCAGUCGCGGUAAUACGUAGGUCCCGAGCGUUGUCCGGAUUUAUUGGGCGUAAAGCGAGCGCAGGCGGAUAGAUAAGUCUGAAGUUAAAGGCAGUGGCUCAACCAUUGUAGGGUUUAGAAACUGUUUGACUUGAGUGCAGAAAGGGAGAGUGGAAUUCCGUGUGUAGCGGUGAAAUGCGUAGAUAUAUGGAGGAACACCAGUAGCGAAGGCGACUCUCAGGUCUGUAACUGGCGCUGAUGUUAGAAAGCGUGGGUAGCAAACAGG
rnacentral:rRNA from 1 species